UGGGGAAUAUUGGACAAUGGGGGCAACCCUGAUCCAGCAAUGCCGCGUGUGUGAAGAAGGUCUUCGGAUUGUAAAGCACUUUCGACGGGGACGAUGAUGACGGUACCCGUAGAAGAAGCCCCGGCUAACUUCGUGCCAGCAGCCGCGGUAAUACGAAGGGGGCUAGCGUUGCUCGGAAUGACUGGGCGUAAAGGGCGUGUAGGCGGUUUACACAGUCAGAUGUGAAAUCCCCGGGCUUAACCUGGGAGCUGCAUUUGAUACGUGUAGACUAGAGUGUGAGAGAGGGUUGUGGAAUUCCCAGUGUAGAGGUGAAAUUCGUAGAUAUUGGGAAGAACACCGGUGGCGAAGGCGGCAACCUGGCUCAUGACUGACGCUGAGGCGCGAAAGCGUGGGGAGCAAACAGGUUAGAUACCCUGGUAGUCCAC
rnacentral:rRNA from 1 species